UGGGCCUUAGGCCCAAACAUCCAAUGUAUCCAAAAAUGCACAAACAUGAAGGAUUGAAACCUCUCCUCAAGUUCGGAUCCUUCGUUCAAGCUAGAGAGAAAACAGAAAAAGGUUUUCACCGGAAAUGCUUGCGCAUGGCGUCGCCUUCCUUCUCCACGUUGGAAUGCCCACUGUUGACAACGUUGCGUUCGUGCCGCUUCAAGAAUACCAACUCGAAUUCGAAAAAGUAUGGUUCUAUUCGGUUUCCACUCAACCAUCACGGCAGUUUGACGAAUCACAUUUCUCCAUCAUUAUUUCGGUUGUUAGAAUCAAGUUGCUGAAGAAACCAAUUCCAUGUUGAGACGAGAGAGAGAGGCAAACUCAAGAGAGGGGGAGUAAUGAGUUGAGUGAAGGAGAUUUGAAGAAUCAAUUGGAGAGUGGAAAGUGAAUGUUGCAGAAUGAUGAUCCAUGACUCUCAAUCACAGAACUAACUUAAAUGGAUUUGUUCGGACCAAUUGGGUUUGAAUCAUGUUUGGCCCCUUCAUGGAGUGGUGGAUAAAAGCAUUGGAUGUGAAAAUUGGAAUGGAUUGGCAUGGAUGGUAUUCAUAGGUCAUACUUGGAAUUUGUUAUGCUUAGAUUGUAAUUUUGUAAUUUUCAUAUUUGGCUUUGUAUGGUGAUGUAUUUGUACAUGUAAUUGAAUGUUUAAUGGCUAAUGUGUGGAGGAGUGAAAUAUUGUUAUGGAAUUUGAACUUUGGCUAA